AUCUACGGCCAUACCACCCUGAAUGUGCCUGAUCUCGUUUGAUCUCAGAAACCGACUUUUGUUUUUUGUGAAUACAUAGAAAUAGCAGGGUGUAGUUG
ensembl:rRNA 5S_rRNA 5S ribosomal RNA